rnacentral:rRNA from 1 species
GAUAAACGCUAGCGGCAGGCCUAACACAUGCAAGUCGAGGGGCAUCGGAUAGAGUACUUCGGUACUCUUGCCGGCGACCGGCGGACGGGUGCGUAACGCGUAUGCAACCUACCUUCGACAGGGGGAUAAUCCGAAGAAAUUUGGUCUAAUACCCCAUAAUAUUCCGACAGGCAUCUGUUGGAGUUGAAAGCUUCGGUGGUUGGAGAUGGGCAUGCGUUGUAUUAGCUAGAUGGUGAGGUAACGGCUCACCAUGGCGAUGAUACAUAGGGGGACUGAGAGGUUUUCCCCCCACACUGGUACUGAGACACGGACCAGACUCCUACGGGAGGCAGCAGUGAGGAAUAUUGGUCAAUGGACGGAAGUCUGAACCAGCCAUGCCGCGUGCAGGAUGAAUGUGCUAUGCAUUGUAAACUGCUUUUGUACGAGGGUAAACACAGA